GACGAACGCUGGCGGCGUGCCUAAUACAUGCAAGUGGAACGCUGAAGGAGGAGCUUGCUUCUCCGGAUGAGUUGCGAACGGGUGAGUAACGCGUAGGUAACCUGCCUGGUAGCGGGGGAUAACUAUUGGAAACGAUAGCUAAUACCGCAUAACAGUAGAUAUUGCAUGAUAUCUGCUUAAAAGGUGCAAUUGCAUCACUACCAGAUGGACCUGCGUUGUAUUAGCUAGUUGGUGAGGUAACGGCUCACCAAGGCAACGAUACAUAGCCGACCUGAGAGGGUGAUCGGCCACACUGGGACUGAGACACGGCCCAGACUCCUACGGGAGGCAGCAGUAGGGAAUCUUCGGCAAUGGACGGAAGUCUGACCGAGCAACGCCGCGUGAGUGAAGAAGGUUUUCGGAUCGUAAAGCUCUGUUGUAAGAGAAGAACGAGUGUGAGAGUGGAAAGUUCACACUGUGACGGUAUCUUACCAGAAAGGGACGGCUAACUACGUGCCAGCAGCCGCGGUAAUACGUAGGUCCCGAGCGUUGUCCGGAUUUAUUGGGCGUAAAGCGAGCGCAGGCGGUUAGAUAAGUCUGAAGUUAAAGGCUGUGGCUUAACCAUAGUACGCUUUGGAAACUGUUUAACUUGAGUGCAAGAGGGGAGAGGUGGAAUUUCCAUGUUGUACCGGUGGAAUGCGUUAGAUAUUAUGGAGGAACUCCGGGUGGCGGAAAGGCGGCUCCUCUGGCUUGUAACUGACGGCGAGGGCUCGAAAGCUUGGGGAGCAAACAGGGAUUAGAUACCCUGGUAGUACACCCCGUAAACGAUGAGUGCUAGGUGUUAGACCCUUUCCGGGGUUAAGUGCCGCAGCUAACGCAUUAAGCACUCCGCCUGGGGAGUACGACCGCAAGGUUGAAACUCAAAGGAAUUGACGGGGGCCCGCACAAGCGGUGGAGCAUGCGGUUUAAUUCGAAGCAACGCGAAGAACCUUACCAGGUCUUGACAUCCCUAUGACCGCUCUAGAGAUAGAGCUUUCCUUCGGGACAGAGGUGACAGGUGGAGCAUGGUUGUCGUCAGCUCGUGUCGUGAGAUGUUGGGCUAAGUCCCGCAACGAGCGCAACCCCUAUUGUUAGUUGCCAUCAUUCAGUUGGGCACUCUAGCGAGACUGCCGGUAAUAAACCGGAGGAAGGUGGGGAUGACGUCAAAUCAUCAUGCCCCUUAUGACCUGGGCUACACACGUGCUACAAUGGCUGGUACAACGAGUCGCAAGUCGGUGACGGCAAGCUAAUCUCUUAAAGCCAGUCUCAGUUCGGAUUGUAGGCUGCAACUCGCCUACAUGAAGUCGGAAUCGCUAGUAAUCGCGGAUCAGCACGCCGCGGUGAAUACGUUCCCGGGCCU
rnacentral:rRNA from 1 species